UGAAAUGAUACCACAGUUCAACUGUUCAAGAGUUUACUGAAGACAUUAUUAAUGUCUUCAGUAAACUCUUGAACAGUUGAACUGUGGGCA